rnacentral:ncRNA from 1 species
UGUCUCCUCUAUUCUCCUAACGGGAAAUAGAUUCAGCCCGCUCCCGCAGCGGGCUUUUUUUU